CCUACGGGAGGCAGCAGUAGGGAAUAUUGGACAAUGGACGCAAGUCUGAUCCAGCCAUCCCGCGUGAAGGAUUAAGGCCCUAUGGGUUGUAAACUUCUUUUCUUUGGGAAUAAAAAGCGGUAUUCAUAUCGCCUUGAAGGUACCAGAGGAAUAAGCACCGGCUAACUCCGUGCCAGCAGCCGCGGUAAUACGGAGGGUGCAAGCGUUAUCCGGAUUCACUGGGUUUAAAGGGUGCGUAGGUGGCUUUGUAAGUCAGCGGUGAAAGCCUGGAGCUCAACUCCAGAAUUGCCAUUGAUACUGCAGAGCUUGAAUCAAGUUGAGGUGGAUGGAAUAUUACAUGUAGCGGUGAAAUGCUUAGAUAUGUAAUAGAACACCGAUUGCGAAGGCAGUUCACUAAGCUUGUAUUGACACUGAGGCACGAAAGCGUGGGGAUCAAACAGGAUUAGAUACCCUGGUAGUCCACGCCCUAAACGAUGCAAACUCGACAUUAGCGAUAUACAGUUAGUGUCCAAGCGAAAGCGUUAAGUUUGCCACCUGGGAAGUACGACCGCAAGGUUGAAACUCAAAUGAAUUGACGG
rnacentral:rRNA from 1 species